GCCUGCUUUAAACACUCUAAUUUUUACAAAGUAACAGUCCUGAUUCCCCAAGACACCAAAUUAAUGACAUCAAGGUUCGUCAGAAGGGAGAAACCGAAGAUACCAGUACCUACCGAGGCACGACCGAUACAUCGGUCCCGAAAUUCAACUACGAGCUUUUUAACUGCAGCAACUUUAAUAUACGCUAUUGGAGCUGGAAUUACCGCGGCUGCUGGCACCAGACUUGCCC
rnacentral:rRNA from 1 species